AACGAACGCUGGCGGCAUGCCUAACACAUGCAAGUCGAACGAAGCCUUCGGGCUUAGUGGCGCACGGGUGCGUAACGCGUGGGAAUCUGCCCUUAGGUACGGAAUAACUCAGGGAAACUUGUGCUAAUACCGUUUGAUGUCGAGAGACCAAAGAUUUAUCGCCUAGGGAUGAGCCCCGCGUAGGAUUAGCUAGUUGGUGGGGUAAAGGCCUACCAAGGCGACGAUCCUUAGCUGGUCUGAGAGGAUGAUCAGCCACACUGGGACUGAGACACGGCCCAGACUCCUACGGGAGGCAGCAGUGGGGAAUAUUGGACAAUGGGCGAAAGACCUGAUCCAGCAAUAGCCGCGUGAGUGAAGAAGGCUCGGUUGUAAG
rnacentral:rRNA from 1 species